CAUUUCUGAAAUCUGUUGGAUGAAGAAGAAUCAGAGCUCACCAAGAAAAAUGAGCUUCUAGAAAAGCAAAUGCAAUUUUGACAGAAGGCAGAGAAGGCCCCCUCCCUCCGGUGGAAAGAAAGGUCAUCCUUGGAACUGUCCUACAAAUGAACUGUGUGUCUUAGAUGACACCAACAUCUUUCCCAGUAUAGUGUCCAUAUACGGAGCUUUCACUCAAGAAUGUUUUGAGUGGCAUCCACAAUGUCAGUGCAAGUAAUGGUAUGAUUAAAAUAAUUAAAACCAAGUCAAGGUAAAUCAGACAUUGUAACGAUAUCCCCUAUGACCCAUCACUGCAGAGUUAAGAAGUCUGGACAGGUUUCAGGGAAGAGAAGGGAGAAAAUUCUUGAGGUUUCAGGGAAGAGAAGGGAGAAAAUUCUUGAGGUGAAAAAUGAUUAGGACCCUAGGAAGUGUAUCAGGGCUUUGAGGUACAACUGAUAGAGGAGGAGGCCAAGAUUGUGGUGAUAAAUCCCAUUUACCUGCGGCUUUUAGGAGAGCCAUUCCAGUUUUCUUCUAUUUACGUAUAGAUAAGAAUUUCUUUUAUGUGUGCAUUAAAAAAGAAAAAAAAGAAACCACUAUUACUUAAAUAAAAAGCCAACACUCUCACCGUCACCUCUCAUCUAAGAAUUAUUUUAGAAACUUGUUAAAAAUGCAAAGGCCACACUUUUAGAGAUUCUAGUUCAGAGAUCUGAAGUGGGUGUCCAAAAACAUGUUUUGUUGUUUUGUUUUAUUCUUUGUUUAAAUAAACCCUUUGGUUGAUAUUGAUAAUGGUGGUCCCAGACCACACUUGGAGAAAUACCUCUCAGGAAGCUCUAUGUUUUCAAAUUAAGAUUCACACUCAUCUCUCAAUACUUCCAACACAUUUUAUGUCCUGGAGCUCUCCUUUAUCUAAUGCAGGUCUUCUUGCCUUCCUUGAACAUAUAAGAAAUCUUAUUUAUUGGCUACAAACAAAAUCAACUUCCACCAUUUUACCAAUAUGAGAAAUCUAUCUCCAUAAAGAUUUGUUAAUUAUUUGUUUGUGUAGCUUUUAUAUAAUAGAGGCUUUGCUUAUGAAUAUUUACAUAAUUCUGUAUCUCUGUAAUUGAGAUUGUGCCUAC
rnacentral:lncRNA from 1 species